rnacentral:rRNA from 1 species
UAAUCCACGAAACACCUCACCAACUUUUGUAACAACAGCUUGUAUACCAUCGUCGUAAGUCUACUUCUUGAGAAAGUUGACUUUAAGGAAGAACCCCAGACGUCAGAUCAAGGUGCAGCUUAUAGGUUGGGAAUAGGUGAGCUACAAUGUUUGAAUAAACCAGUGAAAAAAAGGGGUGAAAUGCCCUUUAGAAAUUGGAUUCAGCAGUAAGUUCCACAUAGACAAUGGAACUGAAAAGAGCUCUGGAAUGCGUACACAUCGCCCGUCACUCUCGCCUAGUCAAAAUUAGACAAGGGGAGAAAAGUCGUAACACAAUAGGCACACCGGAAGGUAUGCCUGGAAAAU